rnacentral:rRNA from 1 species
GACGAACGCUGGCGGCGUGCCUAAUACAUGCAAGUAGAACGCUGAAGGAGGAGCUUGCUUCUCUGGAUGAGUUGCGAACGGGUGAGUAACGCGUAGGUAACCUGCCUGGUAGCGGGGGAUAACUAUUGGAAACGAUAGCUAAUACCGCAUAAGAGUAGAUGUUGCAUGACAUUUGCUUAAAAGGUGCAAUUGCAUCACUACCAGAUGGACCUGCGUUGUAUUAGCUAGUUGGUGGGGUAACGGCUCACCAAGGCGACGAUACAUAGCCGACCUGAGAGGGUGAUCGGCCACACUGGGGCUGAGACACGGCCCAGACUCCUACGGGAGGCAGCAGUAGGGAAUCUUCGGCAAUGGACGGAAGUCUGACCGAGCAACGCCGCGUGAGUGAAGAAGGUUUUCGGAUCGUAAAGCUCUGUUGUAAGAGAAGAACGAGUGUGAGAGUGGAAAGUUCACACUGUGACGGUAUCUUACCAGAAAGAGACGGCUAACUACGUG